CCCUUCCAGAGGUUCCCCACUGCAACCUCACCUACACCAGCCCCUCCACAGCCUCCUCAAGACCAGAGUCCUGUCUGCUUUGCAGUACUGGGGAUACAUCCUGGGGACCUUUCCACUGCGCUACAUCCCCAGCCCUUUUUACUCUGAAGGUCUUGCUAGAAUCUAUACGGAAGCAGCUUUGUGCUCUGGGCUUCUCUGUUCCCGAGACAAAAUUCCGAUCACAGCACCGUCUCAGAAGCUCGUGGAGGCGAGCGCAGCCCGGCUGCAACGCUCUGCUCUGUGUGCGCAGAGGGACGGCCGUGCCCAGCACGGGGAGGCGGCGCCCUUCCGCGGGCUGCUGGGAACUGGAGAAGCGCAUCUGCCAAAGAGGUCAUGCAGCCAACGCAAAGAAGCCGGCACUCUGACUGCUUCCUUCCUCCCCUGAAGGCUGGACACGAACCAACAAUCCACACUCUCUCCAGGGUCGGAGCAUUAACCGACAGACACCACGACAGCUCCUCGAACUCGGCCCACGCGCCCGUCCUCUCCACACUGAGCAGCACCAUCCACCUUGUAAGGGCGGACACGGAGGAACCAGACAGCGCCAACCUGCGCCUCCACCGGAGCCCCGAGGGAGGCGAGCGUCAGGCGCACACCAAGGCUGCGGUGACCCGGCCUCCCAGGACCGCAGGCCCGCGGGGAGAGGAGCAAGGGGCGCUGAACUCAGCCGCUAGGCUCUACAGGGGCUUGCCGUGGGGAGGCGGAGCCUCCUGGGAGGGGAGGGGCCUGUCGUUGGGAGGCGGUCGAGGGGUGUGGCCAGAGUAUCUGCCUCCCUCCUCUCCGGAUCCUCCUCUCUCCACGCUGCCGGGCUGCCCCGGGAGAGCAGGUGUCCGGGCCUCCGCCCUCCCGCCAGGCCCUUGGAGCCUAAAAACCUAAACCAAAUUAAACCUCUCCUCCUUAGGUUGCGGUCGUGGGGAACCAUGUGCCAGCAGGGAGGAAAGCACUAAGAUCCUCUGAGGCCACCGGGAGGGCGGGGUGCCGCCCGAGUCCGGGGGUGCCAGGGAGAAAGCACGGUGUGAGUCCGCCAGGCUGCUCAGAAGGGCAUGCGAUUCAAAACUUGCCAACUGUUUAUUUCUGGAAUUUUCACGUCAUUUUCAGAUCAUGGCUGCCCAUGCCAAUGGAAACUGCAGAACGCAAAACUUCAGAUGAAGGCCAGCAACCUCACAUCACAUGCACCGUUCAAUGAAAUCGGACAAUCGGCCAGAGAGGAACCUUAGAGGUUUGCGGACUGAAAGACUGCUCUCUGUCGCUCCCACACGCAGCCUUUAUCAGCUCACUUAGCAAGUACUGAAUAAAAGAAAUACAGGUGUGAAGAAGACUGGUGCCAUAGAGGAAGUGCGGCAUCACAUCUGAAAAGCUUUUAGAAGCGGACAGCGGCCCAUGCCCAUCAUCCGAGUGCUCUGGGAGGCGGAGGCAGAAGCGUCACAAGUUCAGGGCCAGUCUGUGUAACCUAAUGCCUUAAUGAGACCCUGUCUCAAAACAUAAAAAGAGCUGGGGAUAUAGCUCAGUGCAAAGGCCCUGGGCUUGAGCCCCAGUACUGGGAAAAUAAAUAAAACAGCAUAAAAUGCUUUCCGAGCUUCCUUGGUGUGUGCAGAUGAACCUCAGAACAAGAAAACCUAAGAGCUUCCCUAAGCCAUGUGCGAAGGGUCAGCUUGUGUCUCACCUUACAGCUCAGGGACAGGCCAGGCUCCGGGGCUGUGGAAGGGGCUUUGGCCUGCUCGAAGGUCAUGCUGCCACACACCCCACUUCACUCCCUUCUUCCAGUCACCUGCUGUCCCGACAGGGCCAGAGGCCAAGGCACCCUGGGAGCCCAGUCCUGGCUCCUACACCAGCCCCUGCCUGGCCAGUGCCCCUGUUUUGUUUUUCCCACUGUUCUGAGCUGCUUCUCCCCACAGGACAAACCAGGACUGCGUGUCUCCUAGGGUUUUCCAGGUGCCCCUUGUCCUCUGGUGUGUUCUGAUCCAGUUAUGGUCUCCCCCCUUUUCAAUAUGCACAUAAGUCCUCACCAUGCACAACCUGUCUCUAAUGUCAUGAAGGAGCAGCUAAGGCCUAGCACGGUUUUGGUUUCAUUUCUCUGGGAGAAAUCAUGGGCUGGAGCCAAGGGCAGUCUCAGCGCCAGCAAGGCCUCUGUGAGUUGCAGCUGAGCUUCCAGGGCCAACUGGAAGGGAUGGGAGUCCUGGAGACAGAAGCACAGUUUUCAGCGAAAACAAACCUGAGGCAGGAGCUUACACAGCCCAGGGGAGGGUGGGAGACUCAGCCCUGCCCCGCGCCUGGCCAGGUGCUGAGCUGGAUCACGUUGUCGCCAGAGCCCAGGUGGGCCCUCCCAGCCCCAGACGCUCUGUCCUACAUCACCACUCACUUCCACUGCUGCUUUGGAGCUGACCACACUUCUGAACGGAGGCAGCAGAUGGUGCCAGGCCUUGGACAGAGGGUCCCAGGCACCAGGGGACCCAGGGCUCUUCCUGAGGGGGACCCAGUCAGCGCUGGUACCAGGAUCAGCUGGCCCUUUCCUCUGCUUCUCUGCAGGCCCAGCCCAGGCAAAGCGUCCACCCGCGGGUGGGUGGCAGAGAGGCCAGCACCCACACCGUGGAGCACUGUGCAGCCUGAGAGGGGACCCGGAGUCCGCAGGGAGCACAAGCCCAGCACGCACUCUGUGGCCUGCUCAAGCCCCCGCCAUGCAGAGGGGAAGGUCGGGAGACCCUGCCUCUGGCCACAAGCCAGCGGAGCCUGUGCUAAGUGAAACAAGCCAGACACAUGAAAUGUGGCAGGACCUGAUUUACAUGU